rnacentral:lncRNA from 1 species
AUGAUGUCAUAAAGAGUGCUGGCAUAACUAUAUGAUUGACUUUUAUUUUUCCUCGACAAAAGUAUCAGAUCAAUUCUUCACAAUCAAGAAUAUCAAUUAACUGUUUUCCAAAUCUAAUUGAUCAUCCCAGUUAGGAAAUAGAAGAAGAAUGUAAUGAAGUUCCAUAGCUCUCUUGGGAUAGCCAUAAGCCAUUUGGCCAGGUUUUGGAAGUAUUUUAUGGCUCACCUCUGGAUCCUUUCAAAUGGAGACAUAGCUCUGCUUGUAUUAAGGAGCACAACACUUGUAUAACAUGAGGAAUUAUUAAUUAAGUAUUAACUCAAAUAAUUAAUUAACUACUGUAAACCCCCCUCCUUUGUUCCACGUUUUCCUUUGUUAUAAUUUUAAAAAUAAAGGAAGAAUGUGCCAGCCUCUUCGUGUGGACAAAAGUGAACACGAUUUAAAGAUGCACUUCCAGUUAUAUUAGAAUUUUUUGGUUAAAAUAAUGUAUUUAUAUUCUACAAUACAAACAGUGUAAAUAAUGAAUACACAUGAAGACAAAAGUAGAUCCUAUAAAUAAAAAUGUUUAAUGUCCUGAAGUAA